rnacentral:rRNA from 1 species
UACGUAGGUCCCGAGCGUUGUCCGGAUUUAUUGGGCGUAAAGCGAGCGCAGGUGGUUUAUUAAGUCUGGUGUAAAAGGCAGUGGCUCAACCAUUGUAUGCAUUGGAUACUGGUAGACUUGAGUGCAGGAGAGGAGAGUGGAAUUCCAUGUGUAGCGGUGAAAUGCGUAGAUAUAUGGAGGAACACCGGUGGCGAAAGCGGCUCUCUGGCCUGUAACUGACACUGAGGCUCGAAAGCGUGGGGAGCAAACAGG